AUUGAACGCUGGCGGCAUGCCUAACACAUGCAAGUCGAACGCGAAAGGGCUUCGGCCUGAGUAGAGUGGCGGACGGGUGAGUAAUGUGUGGGAAUCUGCCCUGCAGUGGGGGACAACCCGGGGAAACUCGGGCUAAUACCGCAUACGACCUACGGGUGAAAGGGGGGUUUCGGCCUCUCGCUGCAGGAUGAGCCCACAUCCGAUUAGCUAGUUGGUAGGGUAAAGGCCUACCAAGGCAACGAUCGGUAGCUGGUCUGAGAGGAUGAUCAGCCACACUGGGACUGAGACACGGCCCAGACUCCUACGGGAGGCAGCAGUGGGGAAUAUUGGACAAUGGGCGCAAGCCUGAUCCAGCAAUGCCGCGUGUGUGAAGAAGGCCUGCGGGUUGUAAAGCA
rnacentral:rRNA from 1 species